ACUCAAAGGAAUUGACGGGGGCCCGCACAAGCAGCGGAGCGUGUGGUUUAAUUCGAGGCUACACGAAGAACCUUACCUGGGUUUGACGUACAGGUGGUAGGGAAGCGAAAGCGGACCGACCUUCGGGAGCCUGUGCAGGUGCUGCAUGGCUGUCGUCAGCUCGUGCCGUGAGGUGUUAGGUUAAGUCCUGUAACGAGCGCAACCCCCGGGAGUAGUUACAAGUGUCUACUCCGACCGCCCGCGAUAAGCAGGGAGGAAGGUGGGGAUGACGUCAAGUCAGCAUGGCCUUUAUAUCCAGGGCUACACACACGCUACAAUGGUCGGCACAAUGGGUCGCCAAGCGGUAACGCGGAGCCAAUCCAGCAAAGCCGAUCUCAGUUCGGAUUGAGGGCUGCAACCCGCCCUCAUGAAGGUGGAGUUGCUAGUAACCGCCGGUCAGCCAUACGGCGGUGAAUACGUUCCCGGGCCUUGUACACACCGCCCGU
rnacentral:rRNA from 1 species